rnacentral:rRNA from 1 species
UAGGGAAUAUUGGACAAUGGGUGAGAGCCUGAUCCGGCCAUGCCGCGUGCAGGAAGAAGGCGUUAUGCGUUGUAAACUGCUUUUUGCCAGGGGAUAAAAAGACCGUGCGCGGUUAAUUGAAGGUACCUGGUGAAUAAGCCACGGCUAACUACGUGCCAGCAGCCGCGGUAAUACGUAGGUGGCAAGCGUUGUCCGGAUUUAUUGGGUUUAAAGGGUGCGUAGGUGGCCCUGUAAGUCAGUGGUGAAAUAUCUCAGCUUAACUGAGAGGGUGCCAUUGAUACUGCAGGGCUUGAGUACAGAUGAGGUAGGCGGAAUUGACGGUGUAGCGGUGAAAUGCAUAGAUAUCGUCAAGAACACCGAUAGCGAAGGCAGCUUACCAAGCUGUAACUGACACUGAGGCACGAAAGUGUGGGGAUCAAACAGGAUUAGAUACCCCAGUAGUCCCUGAGCGGGCUGGCAAGGCGCAU